UACGAAGGGGGCUAGCGUUGUUCGGAAUAACUGGGGGUAAAGGGUGCGUAGGCGGGUCUUUAAGUCAGGGGGGAAAUCCUGGAGCUCAACUCCAGAACUGCCUUUGAUACUGAGGAUCUUGAGUUCGGGAGAGGUGAGUGGAACUGCGAGUGUAGAGGUGAAAUUCGUAGAUAUUGGGAGGAACACCAGUGGCGAAGGCGGCUCACUGGACCGGAACUGACGCUGAGGCGCGAAAGCGUGGGGAGCAAACAGG
rnacentral:rRNA from 1 species